rnacentral:rRNA from 1 species
AGAAUCAACGCUGGCGGCGUGCCUAACACAUGCAAGUCGCACGAGAAAGGGGAGCAAUCCCUGAGUACAGUGGCGCACGGGUGAGUAACACGUGAAUCAUCUACCUCCGAGUGGGGAAUAACUGAGAGAAAUCUUAGCUAAUACCGCAUAACACUUACGAGUCAAAGCAGCAAUGCGCUUGGAGAGGAGUUCGCGGCAGAUUAGUUAGUUGGCGGGGUAAUGGCCCACCAAGACGAUGAUCUGUAUCCGGCCUGAGAGGGCGCACGGACACACUGGAACUGAAACACGGUCCAGACUCCUACGGAGGCAGCAGUGGGGAAUUUUGCGCAAUGGGGAAACCCUGACGCAGCAACGCCGCGUGGAGGAUGAAGCCCCUUGGGGUGUAAACUCCUUUCGAUCGGGAAGAUAAUGACGGUACCGAUAUAAGAAGCCCGGCUAACUUCGCGCCAGCAGCCGC